CCUCCCUCUCCAGUAGGAAAUCUCAUGUUCCUCAGGUGGUUUCAUUUGACAAGGAAGAGCCCUCAAUGAAGCCAGUGGCAAGGUGCUCUUGACUUUCUCUGCCCAAGUCCUUCAGCUGUAAGGCACAACUUUCUCCCUCAUGCUUGGAUCCUUCAAAGCUGCAGACGCCGGCUUAACAUUGGGGACAAAAGCUGGACUGACAGCACCCGGCGUGCCUUCGCUUUGCUUUGCCGUGCGCUUCCAGCAGUCCUUUCUUGACUCUUUGCUUACUGGACAAAUGACUCUUCCGGAGCUCUGCUUGAAAACCUCUCAGCUGUGUGCACUCUGGAGUGACCGAUUGGAAACCAGUGAGGAGCUGUGAGGAGAACGGACCUCUUGAUAAGAUGGUAUCUGCAGGAGACCCUCACCUGCAGAGCACAGUGAUUGACUGGGCAUAUAAAGGGCAUGCAAGGAAGGAACAAAGGUACAAGCUCAAGGACAACAGGCAAAGGGAGCACAUAUUGCUGUUAAAGCAAGGGCUAGCAAGGAGGCAACAUUAAAUCAUUUAUGUGUUACUGAUCCACUUGGCCUCCCUAAUUCAGAGCAAAGACCCAGGACUCCGGUCAAGGGAUACAAAUGAAUCUAUGGGAGGCCAUAACACGGAGAGGGGUUGUUUGAUGGCCUGUAACUGUGACCCUAAAGACUGUUCUGAAUAUGAAUAGCAUGUUGGGCAUAGAAUAUAC